UAUGAAAUAACAACUGAAUGUAAUCGAAUCAAAUUGCAAGCAUGUACAUGGUUUCGAAUCACCCCCCCAACUAAGGGGGUUUAGUUCCUCAUACUCACAACACAAAGUUUAUUGAAUUGAAACAUCGAAGACAUAAGAAAGAUUACACCUAAAAUGCCAAAGAACUCCACUUUUAAUUCUGCACAGCAAGCUCCUCUUUCUUCUUCUCCUUGCUGCGGCAGAGAGGGUUUAGGGGAUUUUUGGGUAGUUUUGGAUGAUUUUGACGAGGGAGAAUGGUGGAAAAAUGUCUAGGAUGGGUGUAGGGCACGGCUAAGAAGGUUUGGGGUCAGAAAAUAUGGAGUUGGGUGAAGGUUGGGCUCGGCAAAGGUGAGGGACAGGUUCUGGCGUGAAUGGAGUUUUCUGGAUGUGUUUUUGGGUUUUGAAAGGUAGAUAGGAUAGUAUGGUGGUGCGGCAAGGUGUGGGAAUGGUUUAUGGAGGUGGAGAAUGGUGUAUGGAUGUGGGAAAGGUUGCUGGAAUGGGUGGUGGCUGCGGCAAGGAGGGGAUUAGGGUGAUGGUGAUUUUCUGAUUUGUGUAGAGGGAAUGAUAUGUGCGGCUAGGGUGUAGAAAUAUAUAUAUAGGCACUUAAAAACCCUAGCAAAUCAGAUUAGGGCCUUUAAAACACAAAUCCAUCAGAAAUUAGGUUGAAAGAAGUAGACAUUUAGUGGGAAAAAAAAAGGGCCUAGGGUGCGGCUGGUAUGUGGGCUAAGGUUAGGGUUUCUAGAAACCCUAACAAGGCAAGGCAAAGUGAUUCUAGAGGGCCCAGGUGCGGCAUAGGAUGAAGGUCCAUAAGGAAUUUGGGUUUAGGACAUCUAAAAGCCCAAAGCCAAGAAUAGAAACUCACGAAAAUGGAAACCUCCAACUUUUAGAAACUUUGGUUGCCAAUUCCGAUUUAGGAAAGAUCAACCCAAAAUGGAAACUUUUAGGCUUAGUUUUCCUACUUCAAGUAGGAAACCUCAACUCUUCAACUCUUCAAUUCCAUCCCAACCUUGUGUUCCAAGCAUGUCCUUUUCAAUCCAAGCUCACUUCUUGCUCCAAAAGCUCCAAUUUGCAUCAUUUCAUGUAAUACGUCCUUUAACCUGAAAACACAUGAAAGUAGCUUAAAAGACUACUUUAACGAAGAAAACAUAACAAAAAUGCAUAAGAACUAGCUAACUAAGGCGCAUAAAUAUGCUCCUAUCAAAUUCCCCCACACUUAGCUUUUGCUAGUCCUCGAGCAAAACAAACAAAAGAAAGAAAACAAAACGAAACAAACUAACCAAAACAAAACCUAAACCUUCCAACGUUUGCCUCAGGGAUUUCCAAUGCACAUGACAUGUUAAAGGUUGUUAUCCCCACAUAUUUGAGUCAUCUUUACACAAGCAUAUACUUAAUUAAAGCCACUACUCACUAGUUCACAAGUAAUCAAUUAAAACAAUGCUUUGAAUGUAAUAACAUGCCUUAGAGAGUUCCCUCAAUUCCUUACAAGAUAUACACUCUAUUUUCACUCAGAUUUUCUAACUCCACACCCUACACUAGUCAUAUGUGAGAAGAUUGAUGUAAAUAUGGAAACGAAUGCUCACAUAUAUGUAUCACAAAGAACGCAAUUUCUAGAGUUAAGAAGCAUGUUUAGAUAUGAUCUCAUGAAUGGAAUGCUACUACUUAGAUGCGAGAACCAGUGACACCAUAUGCUCAUACCAAAUUCAAACUCCACCAAUUGAAACACCUAACACUCAAGAUAGAAGUUAAGGGUUGUAAUGGGGCUUGGGGUGUUGGUUAACAAGGAAAGGAUAGGGAAAACAAACGUUCUUCAAGCAAUAGUAAGCACAGCAAUGAAAUUGAGACUUAGAAUUCACUUAGAUUGCAGAAAUUAACUUUAAAACACAAGGGGGAGACUUAGACAACUCCUUAGGGUCAAAUUCAUUGUUUUGGACCCUUACUUCAACAAACAAUACUUUGGAACUUUUUUUCUCAACUUUUCAACUUUUUUUUUUUUUCAUUCUUCUCAUAUUUUUUUUUUCUUCAAUUUUUCUUUUCUUUGCCGUGCCUAUGGCACACAAUUCCUCAUGAAAAACACUUCCCCCACACUUAUUUUCUGCUAACAUAGAUCACAAGGAAUUCAAUUCGAAUCAUGCUUUACUAUGCUUUAAGAACAAGGGUAUGGAUAGUCCUAAUCUAAGCUAGGUGAGGGUAAUGUGGGUUAACAAAGAAAAGGCUAAACAAGGCUCAACGGGGUUAAACUUAAACAUAUAAUGGAGUAGGGCACACGGCUUUUUGGCUAAGGUGGUGGUCACUACACAACUUCAUCUUGAAUAUGUGUUAUGCAAUUCAAUGACAUGCUUUGAAUGAAAUGGGCAUGAGUUCUAGCAUUUGGAACUAAAUGAUGAAACGCCUUCUAAGUAGUAACCAAGCAACUUAGAAAACAAAGAAUGCACAGAUUUUAACUCUCCAAAUAAACGUUUAGGCUCAAGUCUCACAAGGUUGUAGCGUUAGUUUGAGUUCCUUCCUUCAAGCAUGUUACAAAAACUGAUUUUUUCUUUUAUGAUUGCAUGUGAAUUCAUAAGUUAUAACCACAACUAAGCAUACACAAAGAGUAAAUCAAACUUUCAUCCAUGUUAAUCACUCUCUUUAACAGCCAUGUAAUUACAAACCGAAUCCUCAUCAUUGUGUUGGAAGGUACCCUAAGACACAAACAAACACACAAAAACAACUCUUUUUGGGUUUUUAAAACAAAUUUUUUCAAAUUUUUAUGUAAUUUUCGGAUUUUUACUUCAAAACACAUUAAAACACAUCAAAACUGCUCAAAAACACUUAAAAAACAGCAAGGAACAAGUCUUCAAGUUUAGGGUGAUAAAAAUCCCACGAAUUUGCAUCUAAAACACUUAGUUACCCCCCCCACACUUAAAUCAAACAUUGUCCUCAAUGUUUCAAGCAUAAAAUCACACUAAACAAAAAGAAACACACAAACAGCAACUAAAACAACUAAAUAGGCAGAUUCGAAAUAAAUAACAAAGGGAAGAGUUUAGGAACGCAAAUCUGGAAUUGGAGUGAUUCCUUGGUCUUCCUUUGUUGAAUUGCAUGGGUUGCCUCCCAAGUAGCGCUUUCUUUUACGUCUGCGGCCGGACGAAAAACACAAUCAUGCCCCAUUGGAGCCCACGGCACUCUCAUACAUUGCAUCUUUGAACGGUAAUGGAUAGUGAUGUUCGUUGAUGGGUGCGUUGUGUUGCUAGUUCACGUACAUGCGCCCACCAUUGGGGAUUUGCUUGGGUACCUGCACCAUAGAAGGGAACCACCUCUUAAUUUUAAUGGGAAUUGGAUUUGGACUAGGUGCCUUACCUUGGUGUUGUAAUGAAGUGGCAGCAACAUGAACUGUUUUCCUCAUGGUAUUCUCGGCCACAUGGGGUAUCUUAAGGGCAGUGGCCGUGGGGUCCUCAUGCUCCACUCCAAUUCCCUCAUCUUGCAUGGUUCUUGAAGCAACCUUUGUGUUAGGGGCUGAAUGAUCCGUCCCUAUCUUUUCUAUCGUAUCAAUAACACAACAAGAACGAACAACGUUAGGAGUCUCAAUGGAUUCAGGAAUUUUAAAACAAAUCAUUGAUAGGAGCAUAUUUAUGCGCCUUAGUUAGCUAGUUCUUAUGCAUUUUUGUUAUGUUUUCUUUGUUAAAGUAGUCUUUUAAGCUACUUUCUUGUGUUUUCAGGUUUAGCGGACGUAUUACAUGAAAUGAUACAAUUUGGAGCUUUUGGAGCAAAAAGUGAGCUUGAAUUGAAAAGGACAUGCUUGGAACGCAAGGUUGGGAUGGAAUUGAAGAGUUGAAGAUUUGAGGUUUCCUACUUGAAGUAGGAAAGCUAAGCCUAAAAGUUUCCAUUUUGGGUCGAUCUUUCCUAAAUCGGAAUUGGCAACCAAAGUUUCUAAAAGUUGGAAGUUUCUAUUCUUGGAGGUUUCCAUUUUCGAGAGUUUCUAUUCUUGGCGUUGGGCUUUUAGAUGACCUAAACCCAAAUUUCCUUGUGGACCUUCAACCCAUGCCGAACCCUAGGGCCUAAUCAUCUAAAAUCUGCCAUGUUAAACCCUAGUCCAUUUCUCCUAAACCCAAGCCGCACCUUUCCACCUAGAAGCCCUAUUUUACAAACCCUAAACCCUAGUCCACUUAAGUGCCGCACCUAACCCUAGCCCAUUGUUAAAAAUCUGAUUUCAUUAGGGUUUCUAAGUGCCUAUAUAUACCACCCUUACACCCUAGCCGCAGAUAUCUUCCCCUCUCCAAAAAAAUCAGAAAAUCAUCUCUCCUUUUCCCCACCUUUUGCCGCAGCCACCAUCACCCAAAAUCCAUCCAUUCCAGCCGCCACUCAUCCAUUCCAGCAACCUACCCCACUUUUCCGCACCACCAUACACCUCCCUUACCCUUUGCCGAACCACCAUAUCAUCCCAAAUCCAUCCCUAAACCGAAAUCACAUCCAAACAGCCCCUAAACCCUCACUGCCGCAGCAAGGAGAAGAAGAAAGAGGAGCUUUCUGUGCAGAUUUCAAAGUGGACUUCUUUGGCAUUUUAGGUGUAAUCUUUCUUAUGUCUUUGAUGUUUCAAUUCAAUAAACUUUGUGUUGUGAGUAUGAGGAACUAAACCCCCUUAGUUGGGGGGUGAUUCGAAACCAUGUACAUGCUUGCAAUUUGAUUCGAUUACAUUCAGUUGUUAUUUCAUAAGUUAUGGAUUCAAUUCGUUCAUCUAUUUGAUUGAUAACUUAUUUGUGUAUGUUGAUUGAGAGUGCACGCUUAGUUUUCAUGCAUGAAUAUGAUGCUAGAUUAUGAGGGAGUUUCACCUAAUAGUUACAAUCUUAUAAUCACAAGUAGUGAAGAUCGCUUGAAAACGAUCGCGUUGAAUGAAUUCUUAGCAUAAGUUUCAUGCAAUUCAUAGUAACAAAUGCUUCGUCAAUGCUUAUGUUUUUCAUAGAACAUAAUGAUUCUUGCUUGUAUCUCUAUUAUGCAAUUCAUGUAGGGAACUUGUAGGGAAUGUUUUGGGUUGUCGUAUGCAAUCAUCCAACUUAAUAACUUGUGGAAAAAACUGAGGGUUAAUUAGUGCAAUUCACGGUUAACUUGGGGCGUUGAGUAUUCAUAGUUUAUCGGAAGAACAACUGAAAAUCGUUUUGUUUGCAAGUGUGACAUGUGUGGAGAAGAACCUCCUAACUAGCCUUUUAACCAUCUAUUUCACCAAAAUCGUUUUUACAAUCUGCCCUAUUUCCAAUCUGUUUUCUUUAGUUUAAUUUUCGUCAAAACAAAAUCCCCCUUUAAUUUGAAGUCUUAGAUUAGUUAGAAAGUGUUUUGAUUUGUGUUUCUAAGUAUUUUGAUUCAAGUUUUCAUCAAAUUUCGUCCAAAUUAGUGUAGGUGCUCAAAACUGCCCAGAAAGUGGUUUUUAGGCAGUUUUGAGCCUUCUAGUUGCUGUUUUGGUUUUUAGGUUUGUUUAAGUGUUUUAACUUUUAGUUUUGCAUUCUUUGAGUCUAGUUUAGUGUUUUUAACUUUGUUUUUGAGUGUUUAAGUCAGUUUCCAAGCGUUUAGCAAUCCCUCCUAAUCCCCGGUCUAGAACGAUCCCUACUUACAUCUUUGCUACAAUUUGACAAAAAGAGGGUUUAAUUUGUGUGUCAAGUUAAUUUUCACAUCAAAUUUUUGGCGCCGUUGCCGGGGAUUAGCAAAAUUGCUAAUCCCUUGGAUUGUUAUUGUUUCUUUUAUUUCACUUUGUUUCUAACUUUGUUUAAGUUUCUGACCUAAUUUUGUUUCUUGUUUAUUAGGUACUAAUGUAUGACUAGAAGCUCUCAACCGAUUCGUGCGAACAUCUUGGAUUUUGACGACGAUUUUGAGAGGAAGUUGAGAAGAGCUAGAAACCAGCAAGAGCAUCAUCCACCCAGUUCCGAAUCUGACCUUGAAGAAAACGUACAAGAAGAGGAGGAGGAAGCCACGGCAGGGAUAUUUGAAGAAGUCCAAGGCAUGGCCAUGGACAAUCGUACACUCAAGGAGCUUUCCGCCUCAAGGAGCUUUCUGGAUGUGUUUUUGGGUUUUGAAAGGUAGAUAGGAUAGUAUGGUGGUGCGGCAAGGUGUGGGAAUGGUUUAUGGAGGUGGAGAAUGGUGUAUGGAUGUGGGAAAGGUUGCUGGAAUGGGUGGUGGCUGCGGCAAGGAGGGGAUUAGGGUGAUGGUGAUUUUCUGAUUUGUGUAGAGGGAAUGAUAUGUGCGGCUAGGGUGUAGAAAUAUAUAUAUAGGCACUUAAAAACCCUAGCAAAUCAGAUUAGGGCCUUUAAAACACAAAUCCAUCAGAAAUUAGGUUGAAACAAUUAGACAUUUAGUGGGAAAAAAAAAGGGCCUAGGGUGCGGCUGGUAUGUGGGCUAAGGUUAGGGUUUCUAGAAACCCUAACAAGGCAAGGCAAAGUGAUUCUAGAGGGCCCAGGUGCGGCAUAGGAUGAAGGUCCAUAAGGAAUUUGGGUUUAGGACAUCUAAAAGCCCAAAGCCAAGAAUAGAAACUCACGAAAAUGGAAACCUCCAACUUUUAGAAACUUUGGUUGCCAAUUCCGAUUUAGGAAAGAUCAACCCAAAAUGGAAACUUUUAGGCUUAGCUUUCCUACUUCAAGUAGGAAACCUCAACUCUUCAACUCUUCAAUUCCAUCCCAACCUUGUGUUCCAAGCAUGUCCUUUUCAAUCCAAGCUCACUUUCUUGCUCCAAAAGCUCCAAUUUGCAUCAUUUCAUGUAAUACGUCCUUUAACCUGAAAACACAUGAAAGUAGCUUAAAAGACUACUUUAACGAAGAAAACAUAACGAAAAUGCAUAAGAACUAGCUAACUAAGGCGCAUAAAUAUGCUCCUAUCAAC
rnacentral:lncRNA from 1 species